GACGAACGCUGGCGGCGUGCUUAACACAUGCAAGUCGAACGGUAAGGCCCUGCUUUUGUGGGGUGCUCGAGUGGCGAACGGGUGAGUAACACGUGAGUAACCUGCCCUUGACGUUGGGAUAACUUCAGGAAACUGGGGCUAAUACCGGAUAGGAGCUCCUGCUGCAUGGUGGGGGUUGGAACGUUUCGGCGGUUGGGGAUGGACUCGCGGCUUAUCAGCUUGGUGGUGGGGUAGUGGCUUACCAAGGCUUUGACGGGUAGCCGGCCUGAGAGGGUGACCGGCCACAUUGGGCCUGAGAUACGGCCCAGACUCCUACGGGAGGCAGCAGUGGGGAAUAUUGCCCAAUGGGCGGACGCCUGAUGCAGCAACGCCGCGUGCGGGAUGACGGCCUUCGGGUUGUAAACCGCUUCCGCCUGUGACGAAGCGUGAGUGACGGUAAUGGGUAAAGAAGCACCGGCUAACUACGUG
rnacentral:rRNA from 1 species